rnacentral:rRNA from 1 species
UGGGGAAUUUUGGACAAUGGGCGAAAGCCUGAUCCAGCAAUGCCGCGUGUGUGAAGAAGGCCUUCGGGUUGUAAAGCACUUUUGUCCGGAAAGAAAUGGCUCUGGUUAAUACCUGGGGUCGAUGACGGUACCGGAAGAAUAAGGACCGGCUAACUACGUGCCAGCAGCCGCGGUAAUACGUAGGGUCCAAGCGUUAAUCGGAAUUACUGGGCGUAAAGCGUGCGCAGGCGGUUGUGCAAGACCGAUGUGAAAUCCCCGAGCUUAACUUGGGAAUUGCAUUGGUGACUGCACGGCUAGAGUGUGUCAGAGGGGGGUAGAAUUCCACGUGUAGCAGUGAAAUGCGUAGAGAUGUGGAGGAAUACCGAUGGCGAAGGCAGCCCCUGGGAUAACACUGACGCUCAUGCACGAAAGCGUGGGGAGCAAACAGGAUUAGAUACCCUGGUAGUCCACGCCCUAAACGAUGUCAACUAGUUGUUGGGGAUUCAUUUCCUUAGUAACGUAGCUAACGCGUGAAGUUGACCGCCUGGGGAGUACGGUCGCAAGAUUAAAA